AAACAAAUAGAACAUCCAAGAAGCCAUCUCCCUCUCUAGUUCCUACGGGUAAACACACAAAUCUGAAAUUUCAGCUCACUUUGCUCUCUUUUUCUCUCAAGGAAAGUGCUAGGAACUCUCUUAAGUCCCUUUUGUCAAACCCAUGGGUCCACACUUUGAAAGAAAGACAAGACUCCAUCCUAAUUCUUCUUUUAUGCUCUCUCAAAGUAAUUAGAACAUAUAUCCUCUUUUAAUGUGAUGGAUAUAACUUUAUAAAGGUAAGGAUAUAUAUAUAUAUAUAUGUACAUGCAAAGUGAUAUUAUUUUUGUAGAAAAGUGUGAGUGUGAAUGCAAGAAAUUAUUUUUGUAGAAGGGUGUGAGUGUGAAUGCAAGAAAAUUGGAAAAUGGGUGGUGAGAUUUUUCCUAAGCUCUACACGUAUUCCACCCAAAGUCCCCAUCUUUUAUCCCCUUUUUGCUGCCCCAAAAGUCUUCCCCUUAUCUCAUUUUCUUGGCUGCACCAGACAGAAAGUCCAACCCUCUUUCCCUACUCUUUUCCUUGUUCUUUGUUUCUUUCUUCUUCCCUUCUUACAUGGCAGCCCUCCCUCUCUCACCAAAACAAAAUAUCCCUCUCUAAAGAAGAAAUUAAAGGGUUAAAACUAAAAUUUCAGCUUCAAAUUUUUGGGGGUGUUACCAGUAUCCAAGUCUAAACUCCUUCGACUUUAGGCUCUCAGUUCCUCUGCUUUUAGGUAAGGGAUAAGUUAUAUGGGUAUUUGGUAAGUCAUGAGGUUAUUUUAAAGUAUAUUAUGCAUUAAAAGGUUUUUGAUUAGAGAUAUGACAUAUAAUCAUUAUUCUGACAAAUAUAUGUUCGUGAGUCUUUGAAACUUUAUGUAUAUGAUUUAAGUAUAUUGAUGCUAUUACUAAUUUCCACGAACAUGAUGUUUAAAGAAAAGAAUGGAAAUGCUAUUAUUAUGAAAUGUUAUGCAAAAUAAGAAAUUUCAGUAUGAUGUAAAGUAUGAAAUGUUUUCGGGUUAUGUUCUCUGGUGAUCUGAACUCUGCUAGUAGGGGUUAAUUACUAACUUCCCAUGGAAAACGUUAUAUGAUUGGCCAUUAUAAGUGGGAUUGGCUCUGCUGUACCCGCCCCUUGUUGGUUACGGCCAACUUGUGGGGGAAGCCAACCUAUCCCCAUGGUUGGAAGAUAUGUAUUAUGAUAUAAUCCCGAGAAUACCUGGCAUUGUGGGCAAUGCUGGAUGCCUAGCAUCGUGGUGCUAGAAGCCUUCCAAAUAAGUACAGACUUAUUAGAUAUGGGUUAACCAAUAAGUUAGUUAUGAACAACUAUAUUAUGUUAUUAAUCAUGAGAUAAUGAUUUUGUUAAAUGCAGUGUGAAAAGUUAAAAGCUCUCAUGAAAAUAAAAAGUUUCUGAUGAAAAGAAAGUUGUUCAUUAAAGAUAAAAGUUUCUGAAGUUCUAUUGUGCUAUAAAGAUAAAACUUCUGAUGAAAGUGCAAGUUAUGUUUGAAAGUUAUCAGAUACCUGUUCUUUAUGAAAUUUUAAGUUUAUUGACUAUGAAAGUUAUAAUAUUUUUCGAGAAAAUGUUUAUAAAGAAAGAUUUUCUUAUUGGGUCAAGAUGUUUCUAGUUUAAUACAAAGUUGCUGAUUAUCUGAUUUAAGUUAAAAUAAUUAUUUUGUAAUGAGAAUAUAUAUAUGAUGACUUUGUAGGAAAUGAAAGAAGUUUAAUCCGAAAGAUUUUGGUAAUAUUAACCCGAUAAGAAAAAGGAGAACAAUUAUUUUCUAUGAAGAGCGUAUAAGCUAUUAUUAUGACUAGUAUAAAAUACUAUGCAUGAAAAGAUGUUCUCUUGUUCGAAUAUUCAUAGAAUGAAUGAUUUGAUUUACAUGCAUCCUUAUUGAAUUCUCAUAUAUCUUACCUUUAUUGGGUUGUGUAGCUCACCCCUUCCACUCUUUCAGUUAGCAAGUUUUAUUUUGGAGCAAAGGGAGCCUUAGUUGAGUUUGGAAGGAGCUGGUUUUAGUUUUAUAUGUAUAGAUCCUAAAUUAGCAAUUUAAUGUUUAGAUUUAUAGUAUAGUUAAUUUUAGGAUCUAAUUAAAGUUGUGUACCUUAAAGUAUUAAGAGAUGUAUUAUGUAAAAUUCAGAAUUUGAGUAACUGGUGAAUUAUGUUA